ACCUACCCUUAACAGGAGGAUAGCUCCCGGAAACGGGAAUUAAUACUCCAUAACAUUCAGACAGGGCAUCCUGACUGAAUCAAAGCUCCGGCGGUUAAGGAUGGGCAUGCGUGACAUUAGCUUGUUGGUGAGGUAACGGCUCACCAAGGCAACGAUGUCUAGGGGGUCUGAGAGGAUGAUCCCCCACACUGGUACUGAGAUACGGACCAGACUCCUACGGGAGGCAGCAGUGAGGAAUAUUGGGCAAUGGACGCAAGUCUGACCCAGCCAUGCCGCGUGCAGGAUGACAGCCCUAUGGGUUGUAAACUGCUUUUGUACAGGAAGAAACAUCCCGACGUGUCGGGACUUGACCGUACUGUACGAAUAAGCAUCGGCUAACUCCGUGCCAGCAGCCGCGGUAAUACGGAGGAUGCAAGCGUUAUCCGGAUUCAUUGGGUUUAAAGGGUGUGUAGGCGGGAUAAUAAGUCAGCGGUGAAAUCUUUCGGCUCAACCGGAAAACUGCCAUUGAUACUGUUAUCCUUGAGUGUAGUUGAGGUGGGCGGAAUGUGUAAUGUAGCGGUGAAAUGCAUAGAGAUUACACAGAACACCAAUUGCGAAGGCAGCUCACUAAACUAAUACUGACGCUGAGGCACGAAAGCGUGGGGAGCAAACAGGAUUAGAUACCCUGGUAGUCCACGCUGUAAACUAUGAAUACUCGAUGUGUGCGACAUAUUGUACGCGUCUGAGCGAAAGCAUUAAGUAUUCCACCUGGGGAGUACGGUCGCAAGAUUGAAACUCAAAGGAAUUGACGGGGGCCCGCACAAGCGGAGGAACAUGUGGUUUAAUUCGAUGAUACGCGAGGAACCUUACCUGGGCUUAAAUGCAGGACGACGUUCCGGGAAACCGGGACUCCCUUCGGGGCGGACUGCAAGGUGCUGCAUGGCUGUCGUCAGCUCGUGCCGUGAGGUGUCGGGUUAAGUCCCAUAACGAGCGCAACCCCUAUCGUUAGUUGCCAGCGGGUAAUGCCGGGAACUCUAACGAAACUGCCAGUGUAAACUGUGAGGAAGGUGGGGAUGACGUCAAGUCAGCACGGCCCUUAUGUCCAGGGCUACACACGUGUUACAAUGGCCAGUACAAAGGGCUGCUACCAGGUGACUGGAUGCAAAUCUCUAAAACUGGUCUCAGUUCGGAUCGGAGUCUGCAACUCGACUUCGUGAAGAUGGAUUCGCUAGUAAUCGCGCAUCAGCCACGGCGCGGUGAUACGUUCCCGGGCCUUGUACACACCGCCCGUCAAGCCAUGGAAGCUGGGGGUACCUAAAGUCCGUAACCGCAAGGAGCGGCCUAGGGUAAACCAGUGACUGGGGCUAAG
rnacentral:rRNA from 1 species